rnacentral:rRNA from 1 species
UACGUAGGGUCCGAGCGUUUGUCCCGGAAUUACUGGGCGUAAAGAGCUCGUAGGUGGUUUGUCGCGUUGUUCGUGAAAACUCACAGCUCAACUGUGGGCGUGCGGGCGAUACGGGCAGACUGGAGUACUGCAGGGGAGACUGGAAUUCCUGGUGUAGCGGUGGGAAUGCGCAGAUAUCAGGAGGAACACCUGUGGCGAAGGCGGCUUUC